UUAUCUCAAAACACCAAUCAUGUCGUUGUAGUAUUUUAGGUUGUCAAUCCAAAUGGGUGUU
rnacentral:sRNA from 1 species